rnacentral:rRNA from 1 species
UUUGAUUCGUAAAAUUAGUAUUUUCUGAUUUUCACAAAUCCCACAUUCAAUUUUGACUCUUAACCUUAAGUAUUUUAUUAAGCAAAAAAAACACAGUAUCGACUUAACCUGGUGCAUCAGCUAGCUUUAAAUUUUCAAAUUACCUUCUUCUCCCGAAAAUCCUAAAUAUUGUUUCUCUAUAGUAUAGUGGAAUCUUGCAUAAAGAAAAACAAGUUGCGAUACGCCUACACGAGGAUUAAUCUGGUUCAAACAUAAAUUUUCAAUUCUUUCACUUGCUCAAGAAAAAUAGCUUAAGGGAAAGCUUUAAGUUUAAACUUUCAUUGUUUUUAAAAAAUUAAAUUCCUCUAACCUUCAAAAUCCAAAAAUAAGAAUUUUUAUAUCGAAAAAAAAACCAACCGCACAAAAAACAUUAAACUAUUAGUAUGCCUUAUUUACNAAAAAAAAACUUCUCAUUUUUCCUUAAUCCCCAAGCAUGCCAAGACAACUAAGGUCCCUUUGCCUGUUUCUCAAAGACUCCUCUUUUAAAAAGUAACGUCCGCCCAGUGAUUUAAACGGCCGCUUUGGUGCUAAGGUAGCAUAAUAAUUUGAAACUUAAUUGGUUUCUGGCAUGAGAGACGUUUCAAAGAAAACUUGUUCUUGUUCUACGCAAACCUUUAUUCAUGAGAGAAAUCUCUCAAAUGAUUUUAUAGACGAGAAGACCUUAAAAUCUUUCUUUACAUUUAAUUUCAUCAACACAAACUUAGUUGGGGUGACUCUUGACUUUAACGCCAAUAAAGAAAAAAUCAAAGAACCUUAGAGACCGCAUGAAAAAGAUACUUUAGGGAUAACAGCACAAUGUUUCUUAAAGCCCUUAUUUAAAGAAACGCUUGUGACCUCGAUGUUGAAUUAAGAAAUAUUAGGCGCAAAAGCUUUAACCUUCAGGUCUGUUCGACCUUAUGGCUCUUACAUGAUUUGAGUUAAGGUCGACG